rnacentral:rRNA from 1 species
CCAAUCUAGAGUAUNGGAGAGGAAAGUGGAAUUCCUAGUGUAGCGGUGAAAUGCGUAGAUAUUAGGAAGANCACCAGUGGCGAAGGCGACUUUCUGGACGAAAACUGACGCUGAGGCGCGAAAGCCAGGGGAGCGAACGGGAUUAGAUACCCCGGUAGUCCUGNCCGUAAACGAUGGGUACUAGGUGUAGGAGGUAUCGACCCCUUCUGUGCCGGAGUUAACGCAAUAAGUACCCCGCCUGGGGAGUACGACCGCAAGGUUGAAACUCAAAGGAAUUGACGGGGGCCCGCACAAGCGGUGGAGUAUGUGGUUUAAUUCGACGCAACGCGAAGAACCUUACCAGGUCUUGACAUUGAUGGACAGAACCAGAGAUGGUUCCUCUUCUUCGGAAGCCAGAAAACAGGUGGUGCACGGUUGUCGUCAGCUCGUGUCGUGAGAUGUUGGGUUAAGUCCCGCAACGAGCGCAACCCCUAUCUUAUGUUGCCAGCACUUUGGGUGGGGACUCAUGAGAGACUGCCGCAGACAAUGCGGAGGAAGGCGGGGAUGACGUCAAAUCAUCAUGCCCCUUAUGACCUGGGCUACACACGUACUACAAUGGGAGUUAAUAGACGGAAGCGAGAUCGCGAGAUGGAGCAAACCCGAGAAACACUCUCUCAGUUCGGAUCGUAGGCUGCAACUCGCCUACGUGAAGUCGGAAUCGCUAGUAAUCGCAGGUCAGCAUACUGCGGUGAAUACGUUCCCGGGCCUUGUACACACCGCCCGUCACACCACGAAAGUCGGAAGUGCCCAAAGCCGGUGGGGUAACCU